AUACGGAGGAUCCGAGCGUUAUCCGGAUUUAUUGGGUUUAAAGGGUGCGCAGGCGGGAGAUUAAGUCGGCGGGGGACUUUUGGAGGUCAACUGUAAAAGCGUCUUCGAAACUGGGUGCCUUGAGUGUAGGGUAAGUAGGGGGAAUUUGUGGUGUAGCGGUGUAAUGCAUAGAUAUCACGAGGAACUCCGAUUGCGCAGGCAGCUUACUAAACUACUACUGACGCUCAGGCACGAAGGCGUGGGGAUCAAACAGGAUUAGAUACCCUGGUAGUCCACGCAGUAAACGAUGAUUACUAGCUGUUUGCGAUACAAUGUAAGCGGCUGAGCGAAAGCGUUAAGUAAUCCACCUGGGGAGUACGUUCGCAAGAAUGAAACUCAAAGGAAUUGACGGGG
rnacentral:rRNA from 1 species